rnacentral:rRNA from 1 species
AUUGAACGCUGGCGGCAUGCCUUACACAUGCAAGUCGAACGGCAGCACGGGUGCUUGCACCUGGUGGCGAGUGGCGAACGGGUGAGUAAUACAUCGGCACAUGUCCUGUAGUGGGGGAUAGCCCGGCGAAAGCCGGAUUAAUACCGCAUACGAUCUACGGAUGAAAGCGGGGGGCCUUCGGGCCUCGCGCUAUCGGGUUGGCCGAUGGCUGAUUAGCUAGUUGGUGGGGUAAAGGCCUACCAAGGCGACGAUCAGUAGCUGGUCUGAGAGGACGACCAGCCACACUGGGACUGAGACACGGCCCAGACUCCUACGGGAGGCAGCAGUGGGGAAUUUUGGACAAUGGGCGAAAGCCUGAUCCAGCAAUGCCGCGUGUGUGAAGAAGGCCUUCGGGUUGUAAAGCACUUUUGUCCGGAAAGAAAUCCUUGGCCCUAAUACGGUCGGGGGAUGACGGUACCGGAAGAAUAAGCACCGGCUAACUACGUG